GGAGCCAGAGUUGAAGGCCAGUCUUCAUAACACAGUGAGUUAGAGGCUGGCCCAGCUACUAGAAACCAUGACUCAAAAAAACAAACAAGACAGAUGCCAAAAUUUCCACCAACUUGAAUUUUUUGGAAUAUAUUUCAUCUUAUUACUCUUGUUUGGUUGGUUAGUUGUUUUUGUUUUUCUUUUGAGGCAAGGUAUUCUAGGCUGGUCUUGAACUCAGUAUGUAGUCUACAUUUUGGAUCCUCCUGCCCCCACCUCCUAAGUGUUGACAUUACUGGCAUUUGCUACCAUGCCCCACUUACUCAGUGCUAGGGAUUGAAGAUGGGACUUGAUCAUGUAAGCAAGCACUCUGCCUCCCGAGGCACAUCCUCAGGCCUAGCCCUGGACUCAGUCUUUAAAUGCUGUUGCCUCUUCUGUAAACAUAAUCACUACUUCCCUCACUGUGCCUCAAAGCCUGGCAAAAUUACAAUUGUCAAGAGUCACAAUAACCCUUACUGACCCUGAAAAGGUGGUUUGUAGACCUCCAGCUUAUACCUCACGCUCCAUCCAAAGCUUUGGUUUUGAGCAAAACCAUUAAUUAUUCCUCGUGGCAAUCCUGACACUUAGAAGUUAGAACACUUCUUGUCAGAUACUGAAUAAGUUGAUUCAGAAUAUGCUAAUUUUCAUUGUUUUGUUUGCUUGGUUUUGGUUUUAUAGGUUUUAUGAUUUUGUUUUGUUUUUGAAACAGGGUUUCUCUAUGUAAUGUAGCCCUGACUGGCCUGGAACUCAUUAUGUAGACCAGGUAGGCUGGAGGCAUCUGCUAGGUCUAUAGGUGUUCAUGUUCACCACCACACUCAUGAUCACCACAACCCUCAGUUCAGGUCCUUUAUUUAAAAAAAAAUGCUUACACUUUCUUUUUUUCCUAUUGAGGGUGCUGUAUGAUGCAAGUAAUUGAAUCACUGAAGUUUAGAGUCAACUUCUGUUCAUGAAGUGGGUUGCCCAUCAAGGAUGCUCUCCGUCCCACAUCAGUGUGUCCCGAUUUUCCUCACUGUGUUUUUUUAUAUAUAUAUAAAUUUAUUAUGCUAGUUCUUUCCUGAUUAUUUUGUGUUUGUGUUGCUAUUCUCUAUGGGGAUCUCUCUGGAGUACUGCUAACUUUUAAGAUGAAUGGUUAGUUGUAAUAACUGGAGAUGGCCUGUCUGUCUGAAUAGAAAAUCAUAGCUACAAAGUGAUGUGUUAUGGAGCUCCAUCAUUUCAUGUUUAAUACAAAUAAAAGUAUUUUUGGUAUUUCUUCAUUAGAGUUAGUUGUUAGCUUCACUCUAUUCUUACUUGUUGGAAGCUGAAGACUUGAUAAAGUGACUCAGUCUUUUAAUAUCUUCACACCUUGCAUGAUUGAUUGCAUUCAAUGUUUUUAUAAUAUUGAAACAUCCUUAAAUUUAUAAUAAAUCAGCUCUGUGUGACUAUGGCAUAUACUCUUGGCAUUUUUUUUUUUCUGUUUGCAAUUCACUGAGAUUCAUAAAUAAAACUCAUUUGUAUCU
rnacentral:lncRNA from 1 species